UACGUAGGGGGCAAGCGUUGUCCGGAGUUACUGGGCGUAAAGCGCACGCAGGCGGUCGAUUAAGUUUGGAGUGACAGUUGGUGGCUUAACUGCCAAAGUGCUUCGAAAACUGAUCGACUUGAGGGCUUCAGAGGGACACGGAAUUCCGGGUGGAGUGGUGAAAUGCGUAGAGAUCCGGAGGAACACCGAAGGCGAAGGCAGUGUCCUGGGGAGUACCUGACGCUCAGGUGCGAAAGCCAGGGGAGCGAACGGG
rnacentral:rRNA from 1 species